ensembl:lncRNA
UUGUGAUGCAGAGCUGAUUUUCAGCAUCAUUACUGCAGUCUUCAGUGUCACAUGAUCCUUCAGAAAUCUUUCUGAUUUAUUAACAGUAUGCUGUUUUAUCAUCAAUGUUGGAUUGGAAAUAAUCACUGUUUGCUGCUUAAUAUGUGUUUUUUUGUUUUUUGGAACCUGUGAUACUUUUUACAGAAUUCUUUGAUGAAUAAAAAUUUAAAAAGAACAGCAUUUAUUCAAAAUAGAAAUAUUUUCUAACAAUAAGUCUCCACCAAUGCUUUUUAUUAAUUUCUCUCUAAAAAAAUAAAAAUAAAAAAUACCAACCCCAAACAUUUGAAUGGUACUGUAUAUUACAAAGAUUUCAUUAUUUGUAGAUAAAUGCUGUUCUUUUAUUUAUUUAUCUAUUUAUUUAUUUUUUUACUUUUUAUUCUUGAGCACAGGAGAAGUGAGUAGAGAGGGAGGAGUUUAUCUGAGAGACUCGCAUCAUGCAACGGGGCACAGUGUGUUUGCUGGGUUUCUGCAGAGAUCUGAGGAGUCAUACUCAAGAGAGGGAUGCUCGGGCUGACCAUGGGUUUUACUGUCCACUGGAGGCUCUGCUGCUGCUUUUAGGGUCAUAUAUUUCAUUUAGACAGUCUUCUAACAUCGAUAAGUGUGACAGGGUGAUGAAGAACGCCUUUCUAGUCCUGAGCUGGAGCAGGCACGUGCAGCAGGCUCCUUCAGAUCUCCUCAGGGCUGCAUGAGGUUCUCCGCGAGAGUGAAGGAGGGAUGCUGGACCUCUGGCCUUUUGUGUUUGGUCACUGCUUGCUCUCGUUUUGUCUCCUCUUGUGUCAGGCGGAGCUCCAGAGGUCUUGCUCUCAGCACGGCAUACACAGAGGAGCAGAGGGGUGCCAGCUGCUGUGCCCCUGCAGUACAUACCCUCCUGUACCUCCUCCUCCACCUCCUCCUCCUCCACCACGAGGACUGACCGCUGCGGGUAAGCCAUCACUACACAUCAGUCUGAAUGUACUCUUCUCCAAACGUCAGAUGAAGAUAAGAGUCAUUGAGAUAUUUAUAUUACAUUGAGUACAGUAACAAUUUGUAUGUAUCAUAUUUAUACCUUUGUCUCACACUGUCUU